rnacentral:rRNA from 1 species
ACUCCUACGGGAGGCAGCAGGUGGGGAAUAUUGCACAAUGGGCGCAAGCCUGAUGCAGCCAUGCCGCGUGUAUGAAGAAGGCCUUCGGGUUGUAAAGUACUUUCAGCAGUGAGGAAGGUGGGUAUGUUAAUAGCAUAUUCAUUUGACGUUAGCUGCAGAAGAAGCACCGGCUAACUCCGUGCCAGCAGCCGCGGUAAUACGGAGGGUGCGAGCGUUAAUCGGAAUUACUGGGCGUAAAGCGCAUGCAGGUGGUUUGUUAAGUCAGAUGUGAAAGCCCGGGGCUCAACCUCGGAAUUGCAUUUGAAACUGGCAAACUAGAGUACUGUAGAGGGGGUAGAAUUUCAGGUGUAGCGGUGAAAUGCGUAGAGAUCUGAAGGAAUACCGGUGGCGAAGGCGGCCCCCUGGACAGAUACUGACACUCAGAUGCGAAAGCGUGGGGAGCAAACAGGAUUAGAUACCCUGGUAG